AUUCUCCAAAGCAGUCAGGCAGAGCAUUAUUUAGCAGCUGUUAUGAAGAAACUAAGAGUAAACAGUAAAGCUUGGAGUCUUUCUCAGACCAGCCCAUCUUCAGGGAGACCCUGGGACAAGACAAGGUGCUUGGAAGAAACACAAACAGCAGAACUGAAUAGAUGAGGAUUAGACCAGCUGAUUCACUCAGAAAGGAUACUCUCUAACCCACUAAGCUGUCUUAUGGCUGUGAAGAGAACUCCAGAUUUUAAGCUUUUGUGAGUGUCUCACAUGCUGAGGUGAACUCCUAUGAUAAAUGUGAUUUUGAAUCA